rnacentral:rRNA from 1 species
AUUGAACGCUGGCGGCAUGCCUUACACAUGCAAGUCGAACGGCAGCACGGGUGCUUGCACCUGGUGGCGAGUGGCGAACGGGUGGGUAAUACAUCGGAACAUGUCCUGUAGUGGGGGAUAGCCCGGCGAAAGCCGGAUUAAUACCGCAUACGAUCUACGGAUGAAAGCGGGGGACCUUCGGGCCUCGCGCUAUAGGGUUGGCCGAUGGCUGAUUAGCUAGUUGGCGGGGUAAAGGCCUACCAAGGCGACGAUCAGUAGCUGGUCUGAGAGGACGACCAGCCACACUGGGACUGAGACACGGCCCAGACUCCUACGGGAGGCAGCAGUGGGGAAUUUUGGACAAUGGGCGAAAGCCUGAUCCAGCAAUGCCGCGUGUGUGAAGAAGGCCUUCGGGUUGUAAAGCACUUUUGUCCGGAAAGAAAUCCUUGGCCCUAAUACGGUCGGGGGAUGACGGUACCGGAAGAAUAAGCACCGGCUAACUACGUG